rnacentral:rRNA from 1 species
UACAGAGGGGGGCAAGCGUUGUUCGGAAUUACUGGGCGUAAAGGGCGCGUAGGCGGCCUGUUAAGUCGAACGUGAAAUCCCCGGGCUCAACCCGGGAACUGCGUCCGAUACUGGCAGGCUUGAAUCCGGGAGAGGGAUGCGGAAUUCCAGGUGUAGCGGUGAAAUGCGUAGAUAUCUGGAGGAACACCGGUGGCGAAGGCGGCAUCCUGGACCGGCAUUGACGCUGAGGCGCG